rnacentral:rRNA from 1 species
GAUGAACGCUGGCGGCGUGCCUAAUACAUGCAAGUCGAGCGAACAGACGAGGAGCUUGCUCCUCUGACGUUAGCGGCGGACGGGUGAGUAACACGUGGAUAACCUACCUAUAAGACUGGGAUAACUUCGGGAAACCGGAGCUAAUACCGGAUAAUAUAUUGAACCGCAUGGUUCAAUAGUGAAAGACGGUUUUGCUGUCACUUAUAGAUGGAUCCGCGCCGCAUUAGCUAGUUGGUAAGGUAACGGCUUACCAAGGCAACGAUGCGUAGCCGACCUGAGAGGGUGAUCGGCCACACUGGAACUGAGACACGGUCCAGACUCCUACGGGAGGCAGCAGUGGGGAAUCUUCCGCAAAGGGCGAAAGCCUGACGGAGCAACGCCGCGUGAGUGAUGAAGGUCUUCGGAUCGUAAAACUAUGUUAUUGGGGAAGAACAAAUGUGUAGGUAACUAUGCACGUCUUGAGGGUACCUAAUCAGAAAGCCACGGCAAACUACGU